rnacentral:lncRNA from 1 species
CUUCGAGCGGGAGGUUGGAUUCUGGCUGUGGCUGUGCUGUGAGCUCCACCGAGCUGAGCCGUGGGAUGGGACACAGGCUCAGCAGUGACUUGGUGCUUGCGGGGGGCGUGGCCUUUGUGCCGCAGUUGAAGCCUGAUGCACGGACCCCUAUGCUGCUUUCUCCUGGCCGUGUCAGCACGAAGCCAGUGGAUGUCACAGCCGUUCCACAGCCAGGAAGCAGCAGAUAUUUCGGAGAACCCUUCCAGACCACAGUCCACUCACUCCUGAAAUGACCCAGGGUUUGAGAGUCGGCUCCGGUGACAACGAGGUGUCUGGGCUGAGGAGCUGAGCCCGGGACAGCAGCAGGAGCCAGCAGCAGGAGCCAGGGCUGCUGUGCGCCCUGCUCAGAUUUUCAGAUUUGGAAGCAAUGGAGAGCAAAUGAUGUUUCUUAUAAGAUGGUCCACCAGAAGCCAGCUUCCCUAGUGAAAUGCUGCCUUGUCAGUGUCCUCUGUUAGUGAUUCCUGCAAACUAGAGGUAAAAAGGCACAAAUGAGACUUAGAAGACCACCCCAGUGAAGCCAGACAAGUUCACCAAAAGGAGAUUUUCAGCAAUGAAGACAGUGUCCUGAGGUCUUAGUCUCAUGUGUGAAGCUCAGGUUUCCUGGAAGAGGCCCUGCUACGGUUUUUGCCCUGCAGGAACCAGCUACAGUGACCACAUACAACUAUAGGAGGAGCACAGCCUGGAAAUGCUGUUUGGACCUGUUACUCUGGCCCAUCCCACAAAUUACCCACUUCCUACUAAUUCCCUCAAUUCCAGAUCCUGCAAACAAACUGACCCUUCAUGAAAAGGUAGGCACGAGAUGACAGCAAAUAGGGCCGAUGACAGAACUUGCACAUCCUGCAGACACAGAAUGUCCUGGACACCAG